rnacentral:rRNA from 1 species
CUACCCAUGAGCAGGAUGAAGCGAAAGUAAAAUUUCGUGGAGGUCCGAACCCACGAGCGUUGAAAAGCUCGGGGAUGACUUGUGGGUAGCGGUGAAAUUCCAAUCGAGCCCGGAGAUAGCUGGUUCUCCCCGAAAUAGCUUUAGGGCUAGCCUCAAGGUGAGAGAUACGGAGGUAGAGCACUGAAUGUCCUAGGGGGUAUUGCACCUACCGAAGACUAUCAAACUCCGAAUGCCGUCAUCUUAUACUUGGGAGUCAGACUGUGGGUGAUAAGAUUCAUAGUCGAAAGGGCAACAGCCCAGAUCGUCAGCUAAGGUCCCUAAAUGUAAGUUAAGUGGUAAAGGAUGUGGGAUUGCACAGACAACCAGGAUGUUGGCUUAGAAGCAGCCACUCAUUCAAAGAGUGCGUAAUAGCUCACUGGUCGAGUGAUCCUGCGCCGAAGAUUUCCGGGGCUAAAACUUACUACCGAGGCUACGGCAUCAGUAAUGAGGGGUAGGGGAGCUUCCCAUACGGGUUGAAGCAUGACCGUAAGGACAUGGGGACAGUAUGGGAGUGAGAAUGUUGGCAUGAGUAGCGAGAUGUGGGUGAGAAUCCCACAGGCCGUAAACCCAAGGUUUCCAGGGGAAGGUUCGUCCGCCCUGGG